AGUGAACGCUGGCGGUAGGCCUAACACAUGCAAGUCGAACGGCAGCACAGUAAGAGCUUGCUCUUACGGGUGGCGAGUGGCGGACGGGUGAGGAAUACAUCGGAAUCUACUUUUUCGUGGGGGAUAACGUAGGGAAACUUACGCUAAUACCGCAUACGACCUACGGGUGAAAGCAAGGGAUCUUCGGACCUUGCGCGAUUGAAUGAGCCGAUGUCGGAUUAGCUAGUUGGCGGGGUAAAGGCCCACCAAGGCGACGAUCCGUAGCUGGUCUGAGAGGAUGAUCAGCCACACUGGAACUGAGACACGGUCCAGACUCCUACGGGAGGCAGCAGUGGGGAAUAUUGGACAAUGGGCGCAAGCCUGAUCCAGCCAUACCGCGUGGGUGAAGAAGGCCUUCGGGUUGUAAAGCCCUUUUGUUGGGAAAGAAAAGCAGCAGGUUAAUACCCCGCUGUUCUGACGGUACCCAAAGAAUAAGCACCGGCGAACUUCGU
rnacentral:rRNA from 1 species